rnacentral:tRNA from 1 species
AAUCCGUCGACUUUAAAAAUCGUGAGA